GAUGAACGCUAGCGGCAGGCUUAACACAUGCAAGUCGAGGGGCAGCACGUCUUCGGAUGGUGGCGACCGGCGCACGGGUGAGUAACGCGUAUGCAAUCUACCUUUUACAGGGGCAUAGCCCGGGGAAACCCGGAUUAAUAUCCUAUAGUACCAUUAUAUAGCAUUAUAUUAUGGUUAAAGUUUCGGCGGUAAAAGAUGAGCAUGCGUCCUAUUAGCUUGAUGGUAAGGUAACGGCUUACCAUGGCUAUGAUAGGUAGGGGUCCUGAGAGGGAGACCCCCCACACUGGUACUGAGACACGGACCAGACUCCUACGGGAGGCAGCAGUGAGGAAUAUUGGACAAUGGGCGCAAGCCUGAUCCAGCCAUGCCGCGUGCAGGAAGACAGCCCUAUGGGUUGUAAACUGCUUUUAUACGGGAAGAAACACCCCUUCGUGAAGGGACUUGACGGUACCGUAUGAAUAAGGAUCGGCUAACUCCGUGCCAGCAGCCGCGGUAAUCGGAGGA
rnacentral:rRNA from 1 species